rnacentral:lncRNA from 1 species
GAAAUCCUGACCUCAGGUGGUCCACCUGCCUCGGCCUCCCAAAGUGCUGGGAUUACAGGUGAAGUUUUAGUACAGCUUGGUGACCUUGGAAAGCCUGUUCUGCUUCUGACGAUACUGGCCUGAGCCUGUGGGUACACAGUGUCAUUGAGACUAGCUGUGCAUAAAAGACCCUCCUCCAGAUCCAGCUUCAUCAAGACCUUGAAGCAGCU